rnacentral:rRNA from 1 species
CCUACGGGUGACAGCAGUAGGGAAUCUUCCACAAUGGGCGAAAGCCUGAUGGAGCAACGCCGCGUGGGUGAAGAAGGUCUUCGGAUCGUAAAACCCUGUUGUUAGAGAAGAAAGUGCGUGAGAGUAACUGUUCACGUUUCGACGGUAUCUAACCAGAAAGCCCCGGCUAACUACGUGCCAGCAGCCGCGGUAAUACGUAGGUGGCAAGCGUUAUCCGGAUUUAUUGGGCGUAAAGGGAACGCAGGCGGUCUUUUAAGUCUGAUGUGAAAGCCUGCGGCUUAACCGGAGUAGUGCAUUGGAAACGGGGAGACUGGAGGGCAGAAGAGGAGAGUGGAACUCCAUGUGUAGCGGUGAAAUGCGUAGAUAUAUGGAAGAACACCAGUGGCGAAAGCGGCUCUCUGGUCUGUAACUGACGCUGAGGUUCGAAAGCGUGGGUAGCAAACAGGAUUAGAUACCCAGUAGUC